UACCAGCACCCCGAGUGGUCGGGACGUUUAUUGGGCCUAAAGCAUCCGUAGCCGGUUCUACAAGUCUUCCGUUAAAUCCACCUGCUUAACAGAUGGGUUGCGGAAGAUACUAUAGAGCUAGGAGGCGGGAGAGGCAAGCGGUACUCGAUGGGUAGGGGUAAAAUCCGUUGAUCCAUUGAAGACCACCAGUGGCGAAGGCGGCUUGCCAGAACGCGCUCGACGGUGAGGGAUGAAAGCUGGGGGAGCAAACCGG
rnacentral:rRNA from 1 species